rnacentral:lncRNA from 1 species
UGCAUGCACGAAUAAGUGUGCUUCAAGAAAAAUAGUCGGCUUCAUUUGCGCAUGCACAUACGCUUUGCCGGCUCCCCGACAACAACUUCAUGCGCUCCCCAGCGUGUGCGUCCUCGGGCUACUGCAUGGCUAGCUCGGCUUAGUCUAGUUAUUGACUGGCCGGCUGCUCUAGUCGGUUGUGUGGCCGGUUGCCCCUGGCUUGCUUCCCGGCCGGGUGCGCCAGCUCGGCUCCUGCCUGUGCAUCCCCGUGUGCCAACACCAUCACUCCGUCUGCCCGCGGCCGGUUCGCGCCAUCGCCGGCUUGGCCACCUGCAAUCCUUUUCUC